rnacentral:rRNA from 1 species
CUGUGAAGAUGCAGUGUACCCGCGGCAAGACGGAAAGACCCCGUGAACCUUUACUAUAGCUUGACACUGAACAUUGAGCCUUGAUGUGUAGGAUAGGUGGGAGGCUUUGAAGUGUGGACGCCAGUCUGCAUGGAGCCGACCUUGAAAUACCACCCUUUAAUGUUUGAUGUUCUAACGUGGACCCGUAAUCCGGGUUGCGGACAGUGUCUGGUGGGUAGUUUGACUGGGGCGGUCUCCUCCUAAAGAGUAACGGAGGAGCACGAAGGUUGGCUAAUCCUGGUCGGACAUCAGGAGGUUAGUGCAAUGGCAUAAGCCAGCUUGACUGCGAGCGUGACGGCGCGAGCAGGUGCGAAAGCAGGUCAUAGUGAUCCGGUGGUUCUGAAUGGAAGGGCCAUCGCUCAACGGAUAAAAGGUACUCCGGGGAUAACAGGCUGAUACCGCCCAAGAGUUCAUAUCGACGGCGGUGUUUGGCACCUCGAUGUCGGCUCAUCACAUCCUGGGGCUGAAGUAGGUCCCAAGGGUAUGGCUGUUCGCCAUUUAAAGUGGUACGCGAGCUGGGUUUAGAACGUCGUGAGACAGUUCGGUCCCUAUCUGCCGUGGGCGCUGGAGAACUGAGGGGGGCUGCUCCUAGUACGAGAGGACCGGAGUGGACGCAUCACUGGUGUUCGGGUUGUCAUGCCAAUGGCACUGCCCGGUAGCUAAAUGCGGAAGAGAUAAGUGCUGAAAGCAUCUAAGCACGAAACUUGCCCCGAGAUGAGUUCUCCCUGAGACUUAGAGUCUCCUGAAGGAACGUUGAAGACGACGACGUUGAUAGGCCGGGUGUGUAAGCGCAGCGAUGCGUUGAGCUAACCGGUACUAAUGAACCGUGAGGCUUAACCUUACA